rnacentral:rRNA from 1 species
GACGGAGGGGGCAAGCGUUGUCCGGACUUACUGGGCGUAAAGAGCUCGUAGGCGGUUUGUUGCGUCGGCUGUGAAAUCCCGAGGCUCAACCUCGGGUCUGCAGUCGAUACGAGCAAACUAGAGUGUUGCAGGGGAGACUGGAAUUCCGUGGUGAUAGAGGUGAAAUUCGUAGAUAUCGGGAGGAACACCAGUGGCGAAGGCGGCGACCUGGGCCAAUAUUGACGCUGAGGUGCGAAAGCGUGGGGAGCAAACAGG